GACGAACCGUGCGAACGUUAUUCGGAAUCAUUGGGCUUAAAGGGCGCGCAGGCGGCUCAUUUUGUCAGGCGUGAAAGCCCCGGGCUUAACCUGGGAACUGCGUUUGAUACGGAUGGGCUAGAGUUCGGGAGAGGAGAGUGGAAUUCCCAGUGUAGAGGUGAAAUUCGUAGAUAUUGGGAAGAACACCGGUGGCGAAGGCGGCUCUCUGGACCGAUACUGACGCUGAGGCGCGAAAGCGUGGGGAGCAAACAGG
rnacentral:rRNA from 1 species